rnacentral:rRNA from 1 species
UACGGAGGAUGCAAGCGUUAUCCGGAAUGAUUGGGCGUAAAGCGUCCGCAGGGGGCAAUGUAAGGCUGCUGUCAAAGCGUCUGGCUCAACCAGAUAAAGGCAGUGGAAACUACAUAGCUAGAGUAAGGUAGGGGUAGAGGGAAUUCCUGGUGUAGCGGUGAAAUGCGUAGAGAUCAGGAAGAACACCGGUGGCGAAAGCGCUCUGCUGGACCUUAACUGACACUGAGGGACGAAAGCUAGGGGAGCGAAUGGG